UACGGAGGGGGCUAGCGUUGCUCGGAAUUACUGGGCGUAAAGCGCACGUAGGCGGUUUGUUAAGUCGGGGGUGAAAUCCUGGAGCUCAACUCCAGAACUGCCUUCGAUACUGGCGAUCUCGAGUUCGGGAGAGGUGAGUGGAACUGCGAGUGUAGAGGUGAAAUUCGUAGAUAUUCGCAAGAACACCAGUGGCGAAGGCGGCUCACUGGCCCGAUACUGACGCUGAGGUGCGAAAGCGUGGGGAGCAAACAGG
rnacentral:rRNA from 1 species